rnacentral:tRNA from 1 species
GAGUCGCUAGCUCAGCUGGUAGAGCACCGGCCUUUUAAGCCGAGGGUCCAGGGUUCGAGCCCCUGGCGACUCA